UCCUACGGGACGCAGCAGUGAGGAAUAUUGGUCAAUGGGCGGAAGCCUGAACCAGCCAAGUCGCGUGAGGGAAUAAGGCCCUACGGGUCGUAAACCUCUUUUGCCGGGGAGCAAGGGCGGGGACGUGUCCCGGCCCGGAGAGUACCCGGAGAAAAAGCAUCGGCUAACUCCGUGCCAGCAGCCGCGGUAAUACGGAGGAUGCGAGCGUUAUCCGGGUUUAUUGGGUUUAAAGGGUGCGUAGGCGGGCGUUUAAGGCAGCGGUAAAAAUUUGGGGCUCAACCCCGUCCGGUCG
rnacentral:rRNA from 1 species